AGAGUUUGAUCCUGGCUCAGGAUGAACGCUGGCGGCGUGCCUAAUACAUGCAAGUCGAGCGAGAAAGGGUCAAAACUUUCGAGUAGCGACCUGAGUAAAGCGGCGGACGGGUGAGUAACACGUAGAUGACCUGCCCUGGAGAGGGGGAUAACUGUUGGAAACGGCAGCUAAUACCCCAUAAGCUCACACUGGUUAGAGAAGAGUGAGAAAAGGCUGAGGCGCUCCGGGAGGGGUCUGCGGUCCAUCAGCUGGUUGGUAGGGUAACGGCCUACCAAGGCGAAGACGGAUAGGGGACCUGAGAGGGUGACCCCCCACACGGGAACUGAGACACGGUCCCGACUCCUACGGGAGGCAGCAGUAAGGAAUAUUGCACAAUGGGCGAAAGCCUGAUGCAGCAACGCCGCGUGACCGAAGAAGGCCUUCGGGUUGUAAAGGUCUUUUCUGGCUGAAGAGGAAGGACAGUAGGCCAGGAAGAAGAGUCGGCUAACUACGUGCCAGCAGCCGCGGUAAAACGUAGGACUCAAGCGUUAUCCGGAUUAACUGGGCGUAAAGCGCCGGCAGGCGGGGGUCUAAGUCGGACGUGAAAGCUCCUGGCUCAACCGGGAGAGGCCGUUCGGGACUGGGCUCGUGGAGGGCAGUAGAGGCGCGUGGAAUUCCGGGUGGAGUGGUGAAAUGCGUAGAGAUCCGGAGGAACACCAGAGGCGAAGGCGACGCGCUGGGCUGCACCUGACGCUGAGCGGCGAAAGCCAGGGGAGCGAACGGGAUUAGAAACCCCGGUAGUCCUGGCUGUAAACGAUGUCCACUAGAUGUUUGGGGGAAACACCUGAGCGUCGGAGCAGACGCGCUAAGUGGACCGCCUGGGGAGUACGGCCGCAAGGCUAAAACUCAAAGGAAUUGACGGGGGCCCGCACAAGCAGCGGAGCGUGUGGUUUAAUUCGAGUCAACGCGAAGAACCUUACCUGGGCUUGACAUCAGUGUAGUAGGGAAGGGAAACCGGACCGACCUUCGGGAGCACUGACAGGUGCUGCAUGGCUGUCGUCAGCUCGUGCCGUGAGGUGUUAGGUUAAGUCCUGUAACGAGCGCAACCCUUACUGCCAGUUACAAGUGUCUGGCGGGACUGCCGGUGACAAACCGGAGGAAGGUGGGGAUGACGUCAAGUCAGCAUGGCCUUUAUGCCCAGGGCGACACACACGCUACAAUGGGCGGUACAGAGGGCAGCGAAACCGCGAGGUGAAGCGAAUCUCAGAAAGCCGUUCGUAGUUCGAAUUGCAGGCUGCAACUCGCCUGCAUGAAGCUGGAGUUGCUAGUAACCGUGGGUCAGCCACACCACGGUGAAUACGUUCCCGGGCCUUGUACACACCGCCCGUCACGUCAUGGAAGCUGGUAAUACCUGAAGUCGGUGAGCGAACUGCAAAGAAGCAGCCGCCUAAGGUAGGGCCGGUAACUGGGACGAAGUCGUAACAAGGUA
rnacentral:rRNA from 1 species